AGACCCGAAACCCGGUGAUCUAGCCAUGGGCAGGUUGAAGGUUGGGUAACACUAACUGGAGGACCGAACCGACUAAUGUUGAAAAAUUAGCGGAUGACCUGUGGCUGGGGGUGAAAGGCCAAUCAAACCGGGAGAUAGCUGGUUCUCCCCGAAAGCUAUUUAGGUAGCGCCUCGUGAAUUCAUCUCCGGGGGUAGAGCACUGUUUCGGCUAGGGGGCCAUCCCGGCUUACCAACCCGAUGCAAACUGCGAAUACCGGAGAAUGUUAUCACGGGAGACACACGGCGGGUGCUAACGUCCGUCGUGAAGAGGGAAACAACCCAGACCGCCAGCUAAGGUCCCAAAGUCAUGGUUAAGUGGGAAACGAUGUGGGAAGGCCCAGACAGCCAGGAUGUUGGCUUAGAAGCAGCCAUCAUUUAAAGAAAGCGUAAUAGCUCACUGGUCGAGUCGGCCUGCGCGGAAGAUGUAACGGGGCUAAACCAUGCACCGAAGCUGCGGCAGCGACACUGUGUGUUGUUGGGUAGGGGAGCGUUCUGUAAGCCUGUGAAGGUGUGUCGUGAGGCAUGCUGGAGGUAUCAGAAGUGCGAAUGCUGACAUAAGUAACGAUAAAGCGGGUGAAAAGCCCGCUCGCCGGAAGACCAAGGGUUCCUGUCCAACGUUAAUCGGGGCAGGGUGAGUCGACCCCUAAGGCGAGGCCGAAAGGCGUAGUCGAUGGGAAACGGGUUAAUAUUCCCGUACUUGGUGUUACUGCGAAGGGGGGACGGAGAAGGCUAUGUUGGCCGGGCGACGGUUGUCCCGGUUUAAGCGUGUAGGUGUGUGUUCCAGGUAAAUCCGGUUCACUUUAACACUGAGGCGUGACGACGAGGCACUACGGUGCUGAAGCAACAAAUGCCCUGCUUCCAGGAAAAGCCUCUAAGCAUCAGGUAACAUCAAAUCGUACCCCAAACCGACACAGGUGGUCAGGUAGAGAAUACCAAGGCGCUUGAGAGAACUCGGGUGAAGGAACUAGGCAAAAUGGUGCCGUAACUUCGGGAGAAGGCACGCUGACACGUAGGUGAAGUGAUUUACUCAUGGAGCUGAAGUCAGUCGAAGAUACCAGCUGGCUGCAACUGUUUAUUAAAAACACAGCACUGUGCAAACACGAAAGUGGACGUAUACGGUGUGACGCCUGCCCGGUGCCGGAAGGUUAAUUGAUGGGGUCAGCGCAAGCGAAGCUCCUGAUCGAAGCCCCGGUAAACGGCGGCCGUAACUAUAACGGUCCUAAGGUAGCGAAAUUCCUUGUCGGGUAAGUUCCGACCUGCACGAAUGGCGUAAUGAUGGCCAGGCUGUCUCCACCCGAGACUCAGUGAAAUUGAACUCGCUGUGAAGAUGCAGUGUACCCGCGGCAAGACGGAAAGACCCCGUGAACCUUUACUAUAGCUUGACACUGAACAUUGAGCCUUGAUGUGUAGGAUAGGUGGGAGGCUUUGAAGUGUGGACGCCAGUCUGCAUGGAGCCGACCUUGAAAUACCACCCUUUAAUGUUUGAUGUUCUAACGUGGACCCGUUACCCGGGUUGCGGACAGUGUCUGGUGGGUAGUUUGACUGGGGCGGUCUCCUCCUAAAGAGUAACGGAGGAGCACGAAGGUUGGCUAAUCCUGGUCGGACAUCAGGAGGUUAGUGCAAUGGCAUAAGCCAGCUUGACUGCGAGCGUGACGGCGCGAGCAGGUGCGAAAGCAGGUCAUAGUGAUCCGGUGGUUCUGAAUGGAAGGGCCAUCGCUCAACGGAUAAAAGGUACUCCGGGGAUAACAGGCUGAUACCGCCCAAGAGUUCAUAUCGACGGCGG
rnacentral:rRNA from 1 species